UACGUAGGGGCCUAGCGUUGUCCGGAUUUAUUGGGCGUAAAGAGCUCGUAGGCGGUUCGGUAAGUCAGGUGUGAAAUCUCCACGCUCAACGUGGAGGGGCCACCUGAUACUGCCGUGACUCGAGUCCGGUAGGGGAGUGUGGAAUUCCCGGUGUAGCGGUGAAAUGCGCAGAUAUCGGGAGGAACACCAGUGGCGAAGGCGGCGACCUGGGCCAAUACUGACGCUGAGGUGCGAAAGCGUGGGGAGCAAACAGG
rnacentral:rRNA from 1 species